GGACAACCUGUUGAAUCAAGUCCUGGCUCUGUGAGGGUGGAAGAAGCUUCAUGGAGUCAGUUUGCUACCAAAUCCCCAGUUGUUCUACUGUCUCAGGCCAGUGCUGCUCUGCGGCUCAGUGAGCAGCCUAAGUUCAGCAGUUUUGGUAGGCAGUUCUUGCUACGCGGCUUGCACAUGGCUUGUUUCUAAUGUCACGGCCACAUUGAUGCCCUAAACACGGGUCAUGCUUAACUUGAACUGGCACUGAGUCUUUCAGUACCUCUUCCUGGCACAUUUUCUUAUUAACACCGAUUUCAGAUUUUGCCUACACUUAAUGUGUGUCCAUUUAUCUGUCUGAAGAUAACUAUCUCAAGUGUAAUUUUUCUGCUUGAGUCAUUUGAUGCAGAUUCUUGUUUUUUGCCGAGGCAGACUUAUGUUUUGCCGAGACACAACCUGUGGGAGGACACGUGAUGUUUGGAGAGAGUAUAAAGAAUAUUCAGUGGACAGUGACCAGGCCCUUGCAUAGCUAGCCUUGCAACACUUCAUUGGUCUUACAUCUUGGAUGAUCUUCACUUCACUAAGAGGGGUGGCAGAGAACUUCUCAAGGCAUUCUGGCUGGUCCUGGUUGUUCCUGCUGACUCCUGCUGAUUCUGAGGAAGCCUGGCAGUUUCUGUUGGUUUGCACCCCUGCUACUGAUUUCUGUUUGGUAUCCUGACUCUACUGGACUGGACUGUUGGUAUCCUGUCAAAUGGAGAUUGGAAUUAUCCCCAAGGAACUACUUCUAAACAGAUCUUCAGACAUGAAUUCUUCGUACUCUCUGUCGGCUUUAGCAUUUUCCUCUUCAAGAUGUUUCUAGUGGAAACAAUGCACAGUUUUUAAUGUACGAACACAAAUUUGUUUCAAGUGUAAUAUUUACAUAUAAGAAUGGCAUUUAUAGGGGCUGGAGAGAUGGC
rnacentral:lncRNA from 1 species